rnacentral:rRNA from 1 species
CCUACGGGGGGCAGCAGUGAGGAAUAUUGGUCAAUGGACGAGAGUCUGAACCAGCCAAGUAGCGUGAAGGAUGACUGCCCUAUGGGUUGUAAACUUCUUUUAUAUGGGAAUAAAAUGUUCCACGUGUGGGCUUUUGUAUGUACCAUAUGAAUAAGGAUCGGCUAACUCCGUGCCAGCAGCCGCGGUAAUACGGAGGAUCCGAGCGUUAUCCGGAUUUAUUGGGUUUAAAGGGAGCGUAGGUGGAUUGUUAAGUCAGUUGUGAAAGUUUGCGGCUCAACCGUAAAAUUGCAGUUGAAACUGGCAGUCUUGAGUGCAGUAGAGGUAGGCGGAAUUCGUGGUGUAGCGGUGAAAUGCUUAGAUAUCACGAAGAACUCCGAUUGCGAAGGCAGCUCACUGGACUGCAACUGACACUGAGGCUCGAAAGUGUGGGUAUCAAACAGGAUUAGAUACCCGGGUAGUC